rnacentral:rRNA from 1 species
UAGUCCACGCCCUAAACGAUGCUUACUCGAUGUUUGGACUAGAUCUGAGCAUCCAAGGGAAACCAUUAAGUAAGCCACCUGGGGAGUACGUUCGCAAGAAUGAAACUCAAAGGAAUUGACGGGGUCCGCACAAGCGGUGGAGCAUGUGGUUUAAUUCGAUGAUACGCGAGGAACCUUACCUAGGCUCUAAUGCGCGCGCUAUUCUGUGAAAGCAGAAGAUUGUAGAGAUACGAUUGUGCCUUCGGGAACUGUGAGACAGGUGCUGCAUGGCUGUCGUCAGCUCGUGUUGUGAAAUGUUGGGUUAAGUCCCGCAACGAGCGCAACCCUUAUCUUUAGUUGCCAUCAGGUUAUGCUGGGCACGUCUAGAGAGACUGCCGCUGAUAAGGCGGAGGAAGGUGGGGACGACGUCAAGUCAUCAUGGCCCUUACGGGUAGGGCUACACACGUGCUACAAUGGGCAGUUACAGAGGGAUGCGAUACCGCGA